rnacentral:tRNA from 1 species
AAAUAAGAUAAAAAUUUAGUUUCGACCUAAAAAUAGAGUAGUAUAAUUCUCCUUAUUUA